rfam:Dipodomys ordii contig_2517, whole genome shotgun sequence.
CAAUGGGUUUCUUUAGAAACCAACAAUAUCUAAUAAUAAAUAUCA